rnacentral:rRNA from 1 species
GGGAGGGGAGCGAGCGUUGUUCGGAGUUUACUGGGCGUAAAGGGCGUCUAGGCGGGUAUGGAUAGUCGGGAUGUGAAAUCCCUCGGCUUAACCGGGGAACUGCAUUCGAAACUUCCAAACUAGAGUACGGCAGAGGUAAGCGGAAUUCUCAGUGUAGCGGUGGAAUGCGUAGAUAUUGAGAAGAACACCAGUGGCGAAGGCGGCUUACCAGGCUGAUACUGACGCUGAAGCGCGAAAGCCAGGGGAGCGAACGGGAUUAGAUACCCCGGUAGUCCUGGCUGUAAACGAUGUGCACUGGGUGUAGGAGGUAUCGACCCCUUCUGUGCCGAAGUUAACGCAUUAAGUGCACCGCCUGGGGAGUACGGGCGCAAGCCUG